rnacentral:rRNA from 1 species
CCUACGGGUGGCAGCAGUGGGGAAUAUUGGACAAUGGGCGAAAGCCUGAUCCAGCCAUGCCGCGUGUGUGAAGAAGGCCUUCGGGUUGUAAAGCACUUUCAGUGGGGAAGAAAGCCUUGGGGCUAAUACCCUCGAGGAAGGACAUCACCCACAGAAGAAGCACCGGCUAACUCCGUGCCAGCAGCCGCGGUAAUACGGAGGGUGCGAGCGUUAAUCGGAAUUACUGGGCGUAAAGCGCGCGUAGGCGGUCUGAUAAGCCGGUUGUGAAAGCCCCGGGCUCAACCUGGGAACGGCAUCCGGAACUGUCAGGCUAGAGUGCAGGAGAGGAAGGUAGAAUUCCCGGUGUAGCGGUGAAAUGCGUAGAGAUCGGGAGGAAUACCAGUGGCGAAGGCGGCCUUCUGGACUGACACUGACGCUGAGGUGCGAAAGCGUGGGUAGGAAACAGGAUUAGAUACCCCAGUAGUC